rnacentral:rRNA from 1 species
AUCCCAGACUCCUACGGGAGGCAGCAGUGGGGAAUAUUGCACAAUGGGGGGAACCCUGAUGCAGCGACGCCGCGUGAGUGAAGAAGUAUCUCGGUACGUAAAGCCCUAUCAGCAGGGAAGAAAAUGACGGUACCUGACUAAGAAGCCCCGGCUAACUACGUGCCAGCAGCCGCGGUAAUACGUAGGUGGCAAGCGUUAUCCGGAUUUAUUGGGUGUAAAGGGCGUGUAGGCGGGAGCGCAAGUCAGAUGUGAAAUCCCGCGGCUCAACCGCGGAACUGCAUUUGAAACUGUCAGUCUUGAGUACCGGAGAGGUCAUCGGAAUUCCUUGUGUAGCGGUGAAAUGCGUAGAUAUAAGGAAGAACACCAGUGGCGAAGGCGGAUGACUGGACGGCAACCGACGGUGAGGCGCGAAAGCGUGGGGAGCAAACAGGAUUAGAUACCCCGGUAAUA